AAUCAAAAUUUUUAUCUAUUUCUACUGUUAAAAACUGGUGUGGCUUACGGAAUAAUAUGAUAGUUACACAUGGUGUGUCACGUGUACCUCAUGUUGAUGUACAUGGACUAAUUUUUAAUAAUAGAAAUGGAUGAAAUUUUUAACA
rfam:Gossypium raimondii Chr03_contig_56, whole genome shotgun sequence.